CCAUUUAUGGAGCAUAUUUUAUGUGUUCAGCAUUGACUGAGACAAAUAUAGUUCCUGCCCUCCCAAAGAUCGCAUGGAAGACAGAUGUGAAAUCCACAAUCCCAGUAAGACACGGAAUGCGUAGUAAUAACAUGAAGGUCUUCAAAUGACCACAUCCCACCUUCCCAUCAAUCUCCGCAUCACUGGGAAAGCAAGGAUCCAGCCUACAAAAAGGGUGUUCAUCUCUUUAACAGCCUGUUUGAGAGUCACCAAGACCACACCAACUCUUAUCUGUUCUCCUGCACUGCCCACUGGAACAUGUAAACGAAGUCAGCUGGUCAACAACCAACCUGAGUCUUUCAACACAUGGGCGCCAAUCUGAAUUAUCCAAAUCAUGCCAUCACAUAUAAAAGCCAAAAUUGCCUUCAGUGGCCACUUACUUUGUUUUUGUGUUCAAUAAAGGAGGUUUGGUGUA